CUUUGGGGCCAGGUCGUCGCUCCGUGUUCUUUGAUCCCAAGGCGCGGGUAAUGCCGCGCCCGUUUUAGAAUAUUCGGAGAGGAAAGUCCGGACACCACCGGGCAGGAUGCCGCACAAGCUUCGGCAAGUGCGGGCGCCGCGCGUCAAGGCGCGGCGACGGACAGUGUCACAGAAAACAAACCGCCUUCGCAGCGCGGCGAAAGUCGCGCGGUGGAGGUAAGGGUGAAAAGGUGGGGUAAGAGCCCACCGCGUUUCGCGUGAGCGGGACGGCACGAAAAACCCCUUCCGGUGCAAGGCAAAAUAGGCGGCUGGGCGGCCCGUCCGAUAGCCGCGGGUAUGCCGCAUCCUCCUUCGCUCGUGCGCUCCGCGCGCGAGCUACGGAGGACAGGUCCAUCGCGAGGUGGGCGUGAGAGAAAUGACGGCCGAAUCCCGCGUGAGCGGGAGGAACAGAAUCCGGCUUACCGGCCCCAAAGCUAA
rnacentral:RNase_P_RNA from 2 species